AACGAACGCUGGCGGCGCGCCUAAUACAUGCAAGUCGAGCGAGAAGACGUAGCAAUACGUUUGUAAAGCGGCGAACGGGUGAGGAAUACAUGGGUAACCUACCCUCGAGUGGGGAAUAACUAGCCGAAAGGUUAGCUAAUACCGCGUACGCUCCUUGGACUUCGGUUCAGGGAGGAAAGCGAUACCGUGGGUACCGCGCUCUUGGAUGGGCUCAUGUCCUAUCAGCUUGUUGGUGAGGAACGGCUCACCAAGGCUUCGACGGUAGCUGGUCUGAGAGGACGAUCAGCCACACUGGCACUGCGACACGGGCCAGGACUCCUACGGGAGGCAGCAGUAAGGAAUAUUGCGCAAUGGGCGAAAGCCUGACGCAGCGACGCCGCGUGGGGGA
rnacentral:rRNA from 1 species